rnacentral:rRNA from 1 species
UAAUUGAAGAGUUUGAUCAUGGCUCAGAUUGAACGCUGGCGGCAGGCCUAACACAUGCAAGUCGGGCGGUAACAGGGAGAAGCUUGCUUCUCUGCUGACGAGCGGCGGACGGGUGAGUAAUGUAUGGGGAUCUGCCUGAUGGCGGGGGAUAACUACUGGAAACGGUAGCUAAUACCGCAUAAUGUCUUCGGACCAAAGCGGGGGACCUCCGGGCCUCGCGCCAUCAGAUGAACCCAUAUGGGAUUAGCU